rnacentral:rRNA from 1 species
UACGUAGGGACCAAGCGUUGUUCGGAUUUACUGGGCGUAAAGGGCGCGUAGGCGGCAAAUUAAGUCAGCUGUGAAAUCUCCGAGCUUAACUCGGAACUGUCAGCUGAUACUGAUGUGCUAGAGUGCGGAAGGGGCAAUCGGAAUUCUUGGUGUAGCGGUGAAAUGCGUAGAGAUCGGAAAGAACACCAACGGCGAAAGCACUCUGCUGGGCCGACACUGACACUGAGAGACGAAAGCUAGGGGAGCGAAUGGG